GAGGGCAUAGCUCAGUGGUAGAGUGUGUGCUUAGCAUGCACGAGAUCCUGGGUUCAAUCCCCAGUACCUCCA
rnacentral:tRNA from 1 species